UACGUAGGGGGCUAGCGUUGUCCGGAAUCAUUGGGCGUAAAGAGCGUGUAGGCGGUCCGGUAAGUCCGCUGUGAAAGUCGGGGGCUCAACCUCGAAUGCCGGUGGAUACUGUCGGGCUAGAGUGCGGAAGAGGCGAGUGGAAUUCCUGGUGUAGCGGUGAAAUGCGCAGAUAUCAGGAGGAACACCAGUGGCGAAGGCGGGUCUCUGGGCCGUAACUGACGCUGAGGAGCGAAAGCGUGGAGAGCGAACAGG
rnacentral:rRNA from 1 species